rnacentral:snRNA from 1 species
AUCGCUUCUUGGCCUUUUUGGCUAAUGUCAAGUGUAGUAUCUGUUCUUAUCAGUUUAAUAAUAAAAAAAAUAUGUUGGAGGGGCAGGGAAUGGCAUACCCAGU